AGAGUUUGAUCCUGGCUCAGGACGAACGCUGGCGGCGCGCCUAACACAUGCAAGUCGAGCGAGAACCAUUCCUUCGGGAAUGGGGACAGCGGCGAACGGGUGAGUAACACGUGGGUAAUCUGCCCUCGGUUCUGGGAUAGCCCGGGGAAACCCGGAUUAAUACCGGAUGGCCUCUGGAGCUUUCGGGCUCGAGAGAAAAGGUAGCUUCGGCCUCCGACCGAGGAUGAGCCCGCGGCCGAUUAGCUUGUUGGUGGGGUAAUGGCCCACCAAGGCGACGAUCGGUAGCUGGUCUGAGAGGACGAUCAGCCACACUGGGACUGAGACACGGCCCAGACUCCUACGGGAGGCAGCAGUGGGGAAUCUUGCGCAAUGGGCGAAAGCCUGACGCAGCGACGCCGCGUGCGGGAAGAAGGCCUUCGGGUUGUAAACCGCUUUCAGGAGGGACGAAGCCACUCGGGUUAAUAGCCCAGAGGGUGACGGUACCUCCAGAAGAAGCCCCGGCUAACUACGUGCCAGCAGCCGCGGUAAUACGUAGGGGGCAAGCGUUGUCCGGAUUUAUUGGGCGUAAAGAGCGUGUAGGCGGCUAGGUAGGUCUGACGUGAAAUCUCAAGGCUCAACCUCGAGCGGUCGUUGGAAACCGCCUGGCUAGAGUCCGGAAGAGGAGAGUGGAAUUCCUGGUGUAGCGGUGAAAUGCGCAGAUAUCAGGAAGAACACCCAUGGCGAAGGCAGCUCUCUGGGACGGUACUGACGCUGAGACGCGAAAGCGUGGGGAGCGAACAGGAUUAGAUACCCUGGUAGUCCACGCUGUAAACGAUGGGUGCUAGGUGUGGGCGGUGUCGACUCCGUCCGUGCCGCAGCUAACGCAUUAAGCACCCCGCCUGGGGAGUACGGCGCAAGGCUAAACUCAAGGAUUGACGGGGC
rnacentral:rRNA from 1 species